AUUGAACGCUGGCGGCAUGCCUUACACAUGCAAGUCGAACGGCAGCACGGGGCAACCUGGUGGCGAGUGGCGAACGGGUGAGUAAUGCAUCGGAACGUGCCAUUGAGUGGGGAUAACGUAGCGAAAGUUGCGCUAAUACUGCAUAUUCUGUGAGCAGGAAAGCAGGGGACCGCAAGGCCUUGCGCUCUUUUGAGCGGCCGAUGUCAGAUUAGCUAGUUGGUGAGGUAACGGCUUACCAAGGCGACGAUCUGUAGCGGGUCUGAGAGGAUGAUCCGCCACACUGGAACUGAGACACGGUCCAGACUCCUACGGAGGCAGCAGUGGGGAAUUUUGGACAAUAGGGCGGCAAGACCUGAUCCAGCCA
rnacentral:rRNA from 1 species